rnacentral:rRNA from 1 species
AUGCCUAAUGGGGUGAACGAUACAAUUAUAGUUCUUAUACCAAAGAAGAAAGAUCCAGUUAAUUUAAAGGAUUUUAGACCAAUUAGUUUAUGUAAUGUUGUUUCUAAAAUCGUAGCUAAGUGUCUGGUAAAUCGUCUUAGGCCUUUGCUCGAGGAUAUUAUUGCCCCCACUCAAAGUGCUUUUAUUCCUGGGAGGAUGAUUACGGAUAAUGCUUUGGUAGCUUUUGAGUGUAUAAAUACUAUGCAAAAGUCACGUGAUGCUAAAGGGUCUUUCUGCGCUUACAAGUUAGAUUAG